CAGAGAGCUUGCUCUCGGGUGACGAGUGGCGGACGGGUGAGUAAUAUCUGGGAAACUGCCUGAUGGAGGGGGAUAACUACUGGAAACGGUAGCUAAUACCGCAUAACGUCGCAAGACCAAAGAGGGGGACCUUCGGGCCUCUUGCCAUCAGAUGUGCCCAGAUGGGAUUAGCUAGUAGGUGGGGUAAUGGCUCACCUAGGCGACGAUCCCUAGCUGGUCUGAGAGGAUGACCAGCCACACUGGAACUGAGACACGGUCCAGACUCCUACGGGAGGCAGCAGUGGGGAAUAUUGCACAAUGGGCGCAAGCCUGAUGCAGCCAUGCCGCGUGUAUGAAGAAGGCCUUCGGGUUGUAAAGUACUUUCAGCGGGGAGGAAGGUGUUGUGGUUAAUAACCGCAGCAAUUGACGUUACCCGCAGAAGAAGCACCGGCUAACUCCGUGCCAGCAGCCGCGGUAAUACGGAGGGUGCAAGCGUUAAUCGGAAUUACUGGGCGUAAAGCGCACGCAGGCGGUCUGUCAAGUCGGAUGUGAAAUCCCCGGGCUCAACCUGGGAACUGCAUUCGAAACUGGCAGGCUAGAGUCUUGUAGAGGGGGGUAGAAUUCCAGGUGUAGCGGUGAAAUGCGUAGAGAU
rnacentral:rRNA from 1 species